CCUACGGGUGGCAGCAGUGAGGAAUAUUGGUCAAUGGCCGAGAGUCUGAACCAGCCAAGUAGCGUGAAGGAUGACUGCCCUAUGGGUUGUACACUUCUUUUAUAUGGGAAGAAAACGUUCCACGUGUGGGAUUUUGUAUGUACCAUAUGAAUAAGGAUCGGCUAACUCCGUGCCAGCAGCCGCGGUAAUACGGAGGAUCCGAGCGUUAUCCGGAUUUCUUGGGUUUAAAGGGAGCGUAGGUGGAUUUUUAAGUCAGUUGUUAAAGUUUGCGGCUCAACCGUAAAAUUGCAGUUGAAACUGGCAGUCUUGAGUACAGUAGAGGUAGGCGGAAUUCGUGGAGUAGCGGUGAAAUGCUUAGAUAUCACGAAGAACUCCGAUUGCGAAGGCAGCUCACUGGACUGCGACUGACACUGAGGCUCGAAAGUGUGGGUAUCAAACAGGAUUAGAUACCCGUGUAGUC
rnacentral:rRNA from 1 species